GAAAUAGUAGUUUAAUUUAAAAUUUUUGGUUUCGGGUCUUAAGAUUCUUCAGUGACUAUUUUU
rnacentral:tRNA from 1 species